AAUCCCAUUUUUAACAAAUUUGUUCUCUCUUUUUUUUUUUUCUAUUUUUUGGGUUUUUUCUUCCCUCUCCUCUUGUUAUUAACCAAUAAAACCUAGAGAGAUAAUAAACAAAACAAACUAAAAUCCCAAGUGCUUCGAUAAACCUUGCUAAAGAACCAAACUUUCUUUCCUU